CUGUGCGCAGUUCCCGUGCCCUAGGAGUUGGCGGCGGGGCCCAGCCGAGGUAUAAGUUCCACAGCUUCACCCUUGUCGGUGUGAUAUGGGCGUGAAAGAAGACAUAAAACAGGCUUCCCGAGUAGAACCUGCCACCCCGGGCUGGUGGGGACGCGGCACCAGGCCGGGCCGGGGGAAGCCGCUCGGACAGUGGUCCUUGGUGAAGCAGAGUUGCCAGCCAUCUAUGGAUCCUAACUAAAUUGGUCCUUGUAAUACUCGGUAUUAUUUGCCAAGAUAUUGAAAAACCUCUAAACAGUGAGAAGCUCCCAGCCCCUUUUCUGUGUCUCUCAUCACCAGCUGCUGUGCCCUGAGGACACCCAGGCAGCCUAAGGAGAGGCCCACAGGUGAGAAACUGCAUGUGUGAGCUGAGCUUGGAAGUGGAUCUUCUAUGUUUUGCCAACAGCCACGUGACUAGUUUUGGAAGCAGAUUCUCCAGCCCCAGCUGCACCUGUGCCAGAGGCACCCAUUAAGCCGCACCUAGUUAAAUUCCUGACCCACAAAGACUUUGAAAUCAUAAAUGUUUGUUGUUUUAAGCUGCUAAGUUUUGAAGUAAUCUGCCAUGUAGCAACAUGAAACUACUUGGACCAAAUAUGUGUUUUUCUAAGCACAGGAAUAUUCACACUUUAUUAAACUUGAGUAUUCCAACAAUA
rnacentral:lncRNA from 1 species